rnacentral:rRNA from 1 species
GAUAAACGCUGGCGGCGUGCCUAAUACAUGCAAGUCGAGCGAACGGACGAGAAGCUUGCUUCUCUGAUGUUAGCGGCGGACGGGUGAGUAACACGUGGAUAACCUACCUAUAAGACUGGGAUAACUUCGGGAAACCGGAGCUAAUACCGGAUAAUAUUUUGAACCGCAUGGUUCAAAAGUGAAAGACGGUCUUGCUGUCACUUAUAGAUGGAUCCGCGCUGCAUUAGCUAGUUGGUAAGGUAACGGCUUACCAAGGCAACGAUGCAUAGCCGACCUGAGAGGGUGAUCGGCCACACUGGAACUGAGACACGGUCCAGACUCCUACGGGAGGCAGCAGUAGGGAAUCUUCCGCAAUGGGCGAAAGCCUGACGGAGCAACGCCGCGUGAGUGAUGAAGGUCUUCGGAUCGUAAAACUCUGUUAUUAGGGAAGAACAUAUGUGUAAGUAACUGUGCACAUCUUGACGGUACCUAAUCAGAAAGCCACGGCUAACUACGUGCCAGCAGCCGCGGUAAUACGUAGGUGGCAAGCGUUAUCCGGAAUUAUUGGGCGUAAAGCGCGCGUAGGCGGUUUUUUAAGUCUGAUGUGAAAGCCCACGGCUCAACCGUGGAGGGUCAUUGGAAACUGGAAAACUCGAGUGCAGAAGAGGAAAGUGGAAUUCCAUGUGUAGCGGUGAAAUACGCAGAGAUAUGGAGGAACACCAGUGGCGAAGGCGACUUUCUGGUCUGUAACUGACACUGAUGUGCGAAAGCGUGGGGAUCAAACAGGAUUAGAUACCCUGGUAGUCCACGCCGUAAACGAUGAGUGCUAAGUGUUAGGGGGUUUCCGCCCCUUAGUGCUGCAGCUAACGCAUUAAGCACUCCGCCUGGGGAGUACGACCGCAAGGUUGAAACUCAAAGGAAUUGACGGGGACCCGCACAAGCGGUGGAGCAUGUGGUUUAAUUCGAAGCAACGCGAAGAACCUUACCAAAUCUUGACAUCCUUUGACAACUCUAGAGAUAGAGCCUUCCCCUUCGGGGGACAAAGUGACAGGUGGUGCAUGGUUGUCGUCAGCUCGUGUCGUGAGAUGUUGGGUUAAGUCCCGCAACGAGCGCAACCCUUAAGCUUAGUUGCCAUCAUUAAGUUGGGCACUCUAAGUUGACUGCCGGUGACAAACCGGAGGAAGGUGGGGAUGACGUCAAAUCAUCAUGCCCCUUAUGAUUUGGGCUACACACGUGCUACAAUGGACAAUACAAAGGGCAGCGAAACCGCGAGGUCAAGCAAAUCCCAUAAAGUUGUUCUCAGUUCGGAUUGUAGUCUGCAACUCGACUACAUGAAGCUGGAAUCGCUAGUAAUCGUAGAUCAGCAUGCUACGGUGAAUACGUUCCCGGGUCU